GUCGGAACGUAUCCUGAAGUGGGGGAUAACGCAUCGAAAGAUGUGCUAAUACCGCAUAUACUCUGAGGAGGAAAGUAGGGGAUCGAAAGACCUUAUGCUUUUGGAGCGGCCGAUGUCUGAUUAGCUAGUUGGUAAGGUAAUGGCUUACCAAGGCAACGAUCAGUAGUUGGUCUGAGAGGACGACCAGCCACACUGGGACUGAGACACGGCCCAGACUCCUACGGGAGGCAGCAGUGGGGAAUUUUGGACAAUGGGCGCAAGCCUGAUCCAGCAAUGCCGCGUGAGUGAAGAAGGCCUUCGGGUUGUAAAGCUCUUUCAGUUGAGAAGAAAAGAUUGUAACUAAUAAUUGCAAUCCAGACGGUUCGCAGAAGAAGCACCGGCUAACUACG
rnacentral:rRNA from 1 species